AAUAGCUCAGAAUGUCACUUCUGUUUUAACUAACAGAAUUGAUAACUGAGCAAGGAA
rnacentral:miRNA from 1 species